CAAAGCUAGCACUACGUAUUCUGUUUUAUCAAGUAAGGUUGUUUCAGAGUCACAGAUACUAUCUAGUGUGACCCCAUGUUGAGAACAAUUCAAGUGAUGAAUUUGUUGUUUAGAAAGCAAAACAGGAAUCAGCCAGCUGAGGCAGCAUUGUGCUUCACUAAUAUUAGCAGAAAUAUAAUUAAAAGUUUCUUGACCACAUGUAAAAACCAUCCUUGAGGUAGCCAAACAUGGGCAAAGUGAAAGAAAGUCUCUUCAAAAGCUGUGCAGUUCAAAGUAGGUGAGCAAAUGCGAUGACAGUGAGGUUUUUUAUUUGAAAAUCUACAAUUAACUACUUUUUCACAAGUUAUAUUUACAGGGACUGCUACCAUUGAGGUGUGUAAAGCAAUUGCAUAAAAGUGUGGAUCAUAAGC